AACGAACGCUGGCGGCAGGCUUAACACAUGCAAGUCGAGCGCCCAGCAAUGGGAGCGGCGGACGGGUGAGUAACACGUGGGAAUAUGCCUUUCGGUACGGAACAACUCAGGGAAACUUGAGCUAAUGCCGUAUGCGCCCUUACGGGGAAAGAUUUAUCGCCGAAAGAUUAGCCCGCGUCUGAUUAGCUAGUUGGUGAGGUAAUGGCUCACCAAGGCGACGAUCAGUAGCUGGUUUGAGAGAACGACCAGCCACACUGGGACUGAGACACGGCCCAGACUCCUACGGGAGGCAGCAGUGGGGAAUCUUGGACAAUGGAGGAAACUCUGAUCCAGCCAUGCCGCGUGAGUGAUGAAGGCCUUCGGGUUGUAAAACUCUUUCGGCGGGGACGAUAAUGACGGUACUCGGAGAAGAAGCUCCGGCUAACUUCGUGCCAGCCGCCGCCGUAAAAC
rnacentral:rRNA from 1 species